UCUACAGGCUUAACACAUGCAAGUCGAGGGGCAGCAUGGUCUUAGCUUGCUAAGGCCGAUGGCGACCGGCGCACGGGUGAGUAACACGUAUCCAACCUGCCGUCUACUCUUGGACAGCCUUCUGAAAGGAAGAUUAAUACAAGAUGGCAUCAUGAGUCCGCAUGUUCACAUGAUUAAAGGUAUUCCGGUAGACGAUGGGGAUGCGUUCCAUUAGAUAGUAGGCGGGGUAACGGCCCACCUAGUCUUCGAUGGAUAGGGGUUCUGAGAGGAAGGUCCCCCACAUUGGAACUGAGACACGGUCCAAACUCCUACGGGAGGCAGCAGUGAGGAAUAUUGGUCAAUGGGCGAGAGCCUGAACCAGCCAAGUAGCGUGAAGGAUGACUGCCCUAUGGGUUGUAAACUUCUUUUAUAAAGGAAUAAAGUCGGGUAUGCAUACCCGUUUGCAUGUACUUUAUGAAUAAGGAUCGGCUAACUCCGUGCCAGCAGCCGCGGUAAUACGGAGGAUCCGAGCGUUAUCCGGAUUUAUUGGGUUUAAAGGGAGCGUAGAUGGAUGUUUAAGUCAGUUGUGAAAGUUUGCGGCUCAACCGUAAAAUUGCAGUUGAUACUGGAUAUCUUGAGUGCAGUUGAGGCAGGCGGAAUUCGUGGUGUAGCGGUGAAAUGCUUAGAUAUCACGAAGAACUCCGAUUGCGAAGGCAGCCUGCUAAGCUGCAACUGACAUUGAGGCUCGAAAGUGUGGGUAUCAAACAGGAUUAGAUACCCUGGUAGUCCACACGGUAAACGAUGAAUACUCGCUGUUUGCGAUAUACAGCAAGCGGCCAAGCGAAAGCGUUAAGUAUUCCACCUGGGGAGUACGCCGGCAACGGUGAAACUCAAAGGAAUUGACGGGGGCCCGCACAAGCGGAGGAACAUGUGGUUUAAUUCGAUGAUACGCGAGGAACCUUACCCGGGCUUAAAUUGCAGAUGAAUUACGGUGAAAGCCGUAAGCCGCAAGGCAUCUGUGAAGGUGCUGCAUGGUUGUCGUCAGCUCGUGCCGUGAGGUGUCGGCUUAAGUGCCAUAACGAGCGCAACCCUUGUUGUCAGUUACUAACAGGUUCCGCUGAGGACUCUGACAAGACUGCCAUCGUAAGAUGUGAGGAAGGUGGGGAUGACGUCAAAUCAGCACGGCCCUUACGUCCGGGGCUACACACGUGUUACAAUGGGGGGUACAGAGGGCCGCUACCACGCGAGUGGAUGCCAAUCCCCAAAACCUCUCUCAGUUCGGACUGGAGUCUGCAACCCGACUCCACGAAGCUGGAUUCGCUAGUAAUCGCGCAUCAGCCACGGCGCGGUGAAUACGUUCCCGGGCCUUGUACACACCGCCCGUCAAGCCAUGGGAGCCGGGGGUACCUGAAGUGCGUAACCGCGAGGAGCGCCCUAGGGUAAAACUGGUGACUGG
rnacentral:rRNA from 1 species